AGAGGAAGAGUUGAUGAUAAUGGUCCUGAGAAGUGAGGGAGUUGUGCAUGGAUCACUUCCCAGGACACAAAGGCUGUCUGCACACUCUGCACCCAGGAAAUGAGCUUUAUCAACACCUGCUCACAAGGACAGUGAAACGAUCUUCCUGAUGAUGAUGGCUGGAAGCUCAUCAUGUGCUGAAGUCACUGUCUGGCCUCCCUGAGCCCUGUGGAGGAUUGUGCAAUCAUCAUCCGCGUUCAUCAUCUGAGUAAGUGUGAGCUGCUGACAGUAGAUGCCUCUCCGGAAAUAACUCAUCAAUCAUGAGAGCUGCCCACAGGAGGAGCCGCCCAGAGCCCUGAUCCGACAGCACUUACGCAGCAGGAUGCCCGUGUUAUCAGUGAGGAAAUCCAUGCGCUUGACUCUACAUACGCAAGUAUCCUCACUGGUUCCUGAAGGCAGCAAAAAGAGAAAGUCCUACCGACCCUCAUUCAGUUCACUGCAAGCCAGAAUGGUCAACAUCAACUGCGGUGCAAAGGUGAAGUAUAGCAGAGUCAUCUCAGGGCUGAAGGGGCACAGCCUGUGAUCCAUCAGGCUCAGCAGCAGCAGUGUCACAGCUACAUCCCUCCUCUAACCUGGCAGUAUUCUCACCUGGGCACCAUAAGCCCUAACAGCCCAGCCAGAAGCCUCAGCCCUCCUCUUCCCUGAGCAAAUACAACUAGAAAAGGAAGAGAGCAGUCUGAACAACCUUACUCUCCUCUUGUCUGCACACAAAGCUGACAAGACAACCAGAAAAGACAAGGGAGAAAAGCACUUGCAAAGAAAGAUAAACAUAUAAUUAGCAAAAAUAAAUACAUCAUUAUUUGAUGGUUUUCAUGCGUGUUACUGUUUCAACUGCUCAUGAAUUGUUUCAUCCAGAUUGUAAAAUAUUCAUAUUUAUAUGUUACUCAGAAAGAGAUGUGAUGCCCUGGAGAGGCUAAUUCUUGGUUUGCAGAUUGUUUACAAGCUGUCAAUUGCAAUUUGAAUAUAUUUGCAAUUCAUAGGGCUGAUAAAUAACGUAAGUCACAUGGCGUAGUUUCUGCUCCUGAGCUGUAGUACAUCCCUGUGUAAGUAACACCAAGGUAGGCAAGCAUUUGUCUCCCCAUCUGCCUCUCAAAUCACACAUUUAAUGGAGCAAGCAAACAUAAUACCCAAGAGUACCUCUGGGAUCUCGUAAUAAUAUUCUGCCCUGCCUGACUCCCUGGAAAGCUCUGAUCUCAUGGCAUUGUGUGUGGCCACCUUUUGCUGAAUCCUGUCUCAGUUAUGGCUCACACAUGAGCAGGACGUGUAUUCUGUAUGUUUUCUCUGUAUGGCACCUAGCAUGCUGUGGGACAGCCAGCCAGAAAGGGAUAAAAGGAAAACUAUGCCACAGUGACUGCACGCUUUGCCUGGGUGUGGGUGACUGAGAACUCGGGAGGCUCUGGCUCAUUAUUCCACCAUGUGGGGGUGACUCUGUCCU